rnacentral:sRNA from 1 species
UUCCGUAGGUGAACCUGCGGAAGGAUCAUUACCGAGUGAGGGCCCUCUGGGUCCAACCUCCCACCCGUGUUUAUUUUACCUUGUUGCUUCGGCGGGCCCGCCUUAACUGGCCGCCGGGGGGCUCACGCCCCCGGGCCCGCGCCCGCCGAAGACACCCUCGAACUCUGUCUGAAGAUUGUAGUCUGAGUGAAAAUAUAAAUUAUUUAAAACUUUCAACAACGGAUCUCUUGGUUCCGGCAUCGAUGAAGAACGCAGCGAAAUGCGAUACGUAAUGUGAAUUGCAAAUUCAGUGAAUCAUCGAGUCUUUGAACGCACAUUGCGCCCCCUGGUAUUCCGGGGGGCAUGCCUGUCCGAGCGUCAUUGCUGCCCUCAAGCACGGCUUGUGUGUUGGGCCCCGUCCUCCGAUCCCGGGGGACGGGCCCGAAAGGCAGCGGCGGCACCGCGUCCGGUCCUCGAGCGUAUGGGGCUUUGUCACCCGCUCUGUAGGCCCGGCCGGCGCUUGCCGAUCAACCCAAAUUUUUAUCCAGGUGACCUCGGAU